CUGGUUGAUCCUGCCAGAGGUCACCGCUAUUAGGAUACGCUUAAGCCAUGCGAGUCAAAGAGCAAUCUUGGCGCACCGCUCAGUAACACGUGGACAAUCUACCCUUCGGUGGGGGAUAAUCUUGGGAAACUGAAGAUAAUACUCCAUAGGUUUAGAAUGCUGGAAUGCUUCUAAACUGAAAGCUUCGGCGCCUAAAGAUGAGUCUGCGGCCUAUCAGGUUGUAGCAAGUGUAACGUACUUGCUAGCCUACAACGGGUACGGGCGUUGAGAGACGUUGCCCGGAGAUGGACUCUGAGACACGAACCCAGGCCCUACGGGGCGCAGCAGUUACGAAAACUUGGCAAUGCGGGAAACCGCGACCAGGGGACUCCAAGUGCUAAUACUUAGUAUUAGCUGUUCUUCUGUCUAAAAAACAGGAGAAGUAAGGGCUGGGUAAGACGGGUGCCAGCCGCCGCGGUAAUACCCGCAGCCCGAGUGGUGGUCAUUAUUAUUGAGCCUAAAGCGUCCGUAGCCGGACUCGUAAAUCCUUGGGUAAAUCGGGCAGCUCAACUGUCCGAAUUCCGAGGAGACUGCGAGUCUUGGGACCGGGAGAGGUUAGAGGUACUCCAGGGGUAAGGGCUAAAUCUUGUAAUCCUUGGGGGACCGCCAGUGGCGAAGGCGUCUAACUAGAACGGAUCCGACGGUAAGGGACGAAACCCUGGGGCGCAAACGGGAUUAGAUACCCCGGUAGUCCAGGGCUUAAACGCUGCAGAUUUGGUGUCGGGGGUCCUACGAGGGCACCCGGUGCCGGAGAGAAGUUGUUAAAUCUGCCGCUUGGGGAGUACGGUCGCAAGACUGAAACUUAAAGGAAUUGGCGGGAGAGCACCGCAACGGGAGGAGCGUGCGGUUCAAUUGGAUUCAACGCCGGA
rnacentral:rRNA from 1 species